GACGAACCGAGCGAACGUUAUUCGGAAUCACUGGGCUUAAAGGGUGCGUAGGAGGGCAGGGAAGUCAGGUGGUGAAAUCUCCGGGGCUUAACUCGGAACUGCCGCUUGAUACUCUCUGUCUUGAAUCCCGUGGAGGUGAGCGGAAUAUGUCAUGUAGCGGUGAAAUGCUUAGAUAUGACAUAGAACACCAAUUGCGAAGGCAGUUCGCUACACGAAGAUUGACUCUGAGGCACGAAAGCGUGGGGAUCAAACAGG
rnacentral:rRNA from 1 species